rnacentral:rRNA from 1 species
GUCUAUGGCCAUACCACCCUUAACGCGCCUGAUCUUGUCUGAUCUCGGAAGCUAAGCAGGGUUGGGCCUGGUUAAUACUUGGAUGGGAGAAUAUUGCCUUACUAGUAUUAUUUACU